rnacentral:snoRNA from 1 species
AACUCCUGUUUCUGCCCCAUAUUCUUUAUUCUUCUAUGGAUUGAUGGGUUCUGAUGAUGGAGAAGAAAAAGCUUUGCACCAAAUCUUGAACGCUUGAUACUUGUUCUUGAUUUGUUGUAUUGAUCGUGUGGUUAGACUUUGAAUCCGUGGAUGGCAGUGCAGUACUAUCGUUAUUGUAAUGCCUGAUCGGUCUCCACUAUAUGU